GCAGUGGUGAUUCAGUGGGCGAACUCUCACCUUCCACGCGAGAGACCUGGGUUCGAUUCCUGGCCAAUGUA
rnacentral:tRNA from 1 species